rnacentral:tRNA from 1 species
AGCGCCUCCUCGCUGAGGGCGUAGCUGCUGAUCUGGGGGAUCAGCUGUGGAAUGCGGUGGCUGAGGCUGCCGUGGCACUG